ACUGGCAGGCUAGAGUCUUGUAGAGGGGGGUAGAAUUCCAGGUGUAGCGGUGAAAUGCGUAGAGAUCUGGAGGAAUACCGGUGGCGAAGGCGGCCCCCUGGACAAAGACUGACGCUCAGGUGCGAAAGCGUGGGGAGCAAACAGGAUUAGAUACCCUGGUAGUCCACGCCGUAAACGAUGUCGAUUUGGAGGUUGUGCCCUUGAGGCGUGGCUUCCGGAGCUAACGCGUUAAAUCGACCGCCUGGGGAGUACGGCCGCAAGGUUAAAACUCAAAUGAAUUGACGGGGGCCCGCACAAGCGGUGGAGCAUGUGGUUUAAUUCGAUGCAACGCGAAGAACCUUACCUGGUCUUGA
rnacentral:rRNA from 1 species